rnacentral:siRNA from 1 species
AGAAAGCUUUGCUGAUCCUACUUA